AAAUAAGUCAAGUAACUACUCUACAUUUCCGAUAUGGGAAAUUAGUUGCUUGACUUAAAGAAAGGAGUGAACAAAAGUACCGUUGGCUCACGGUAUGGCAUUGUAGAGAGAUGCCAUUAUGUACACUAAGCCAUAAAGGCUUGAGUGUAUGAGUAAAACCUAUAAAUAUUGUAGAUAAUUUUAGAUCUUUAUAGGUUUUACAGAGCUGAAACAUAGGGUG
rfam:Thermoanaerobacter pseudethanolicus ATCC 33223, complete genome.